rnacentral:lncRNA from 1 species
AAAAGUUGUCAUAAUGAAUUUGGACGAAGCGGGUCGGAUCAGGCCACCCAAAAAAUGAUCAUAAUUUAACAGGUUGGUCUUACACAUAAGUUUUUAUUUACAUAAUAUUUUGGGGUAUGACUGGUUUCUAUUCUUUUUCUUUUUUUUUUUGCCGGACAUAUUUUCGAGUUUGUCUCAUUCGAUCUUUUGUCGGUGAUAUUCAACAUUUUGAUUUGUUGCUAUUAGGAUCACUCUCAAAUUUAACUAAUAUGUCAAACUUUCAAUUUUUUACC